rnacentral:rRNA from 1 species
GACGAACGCUGGCGGCGUGCCUAACACAUGCAAGUCGAACGGAGAAGUUGAUUUCGGUUGACUUCUUAGUGGCGAACGGGUGAGUAACGCGUGAACAACCUGACCUUAAGAGGGGGAUAACAACGAGAAAUCGUUGCUAAUACCGCAUAAGACCACAACGCCACAUGGCGAAGGGGUCGAAAGGAGCAAUCCGCUUAAGGAGGGGUUCGCGUCCCAUUAGGUAGUAGGCGGGGUAAGUGGCCCACCUAGCCGACGAUGGGUAGCCGAGCUGAGAGGCUGAACGGCCACACUGGAACUGAGACACGGUCCAGACUCCUACGGGAGGCAGCAGUGGGGAAUAUUGGGCAAUGGGCGCAAGCCUGACCCAGCAACGCCGCGUGAGGGAAGAAGGUUUUCGGAUUGUAAACCUCUGUCGCAGAUGACGAAGGAAGUGACGGUAAUCUGUGAGGAAGCCCCGGCUAACUACGUGCCAGCAGCCGCGGUAAGUCUCGCGUGA